GUUUCUUUCAAAUGAGUGUGUCAUGUUGUGUCGCCCUAGCGCCAGUUUUAAAAUAUACAUUCAGUAUUUUGUGAAAAUUCUAAUGAGUUAAUAAAGAAAAAAACUUUUUGGUCAUUUUGUGUUUAAUAGACACAUUUUAUUUAUUUAUUUAUUUAUUUACAAUAGCCUGAUUAUUUGUCAGAAUUCCAUUAGAUUUCUAUUUAGUUUAUUUGAGAUUGUGUCCACUAACUAGAACCGUCUUUGAGAAAAUACGUUUUCCUUGUUUGUAACACUAUUAUAUCUGUAUCAGUCUUUUUCUGUUGGCAUAUUUGGAUUAGUUUAAGUUUGAAAGUUAUGUCUUAAUAUAAAUGUGAACAGUGAGAACUUCUCUUUCAAUUACAUUUCUCUAACCUGACUGAGCUAUUACAUCAGCUGUGUGCUUUGACGAAUAUUCACGUUUAUUAUCUAUAAAUCUUAGUUUAAAAAAAUAAAAAUAAUCUGACGUCAUCCUUAAACGCGUCCAUCUAGGAACCGUUACUAAUUACCCGGUACAUUUACAGGUUGACCCGCAAAAGCGAUUCAGUCAGUUUUGGUAUAUAUUACUUUAUUAAAGAUUAAGAAUGUGUUUUAACGGUACCAAUGUACAUAUGGACAAACUAGACCAAAUGCGCAAAAGACUCUGUUUAUUACAGUUUAUCCAGUUACUAUGAUUCAACUACGAAAAAGACGUCAGUCAGUCAAUUUAGUGACGAACCCUACAUCCAGCCAUGUGUCGUGUUUUUACCGUGAGCUGCCGAGCUCGUCUGCUGCCAGGCCACUGCCAGUAGUUUGACCAUCACAAAUUGGAUCAAAACCAGUGACUUUAAUUAACUGAAUGCCAAAAUGAGCUAUUUUUUCGAACUGGGAUACGGCCUAGGGUUGUUCAUUAUCAUUUUCAUCUGUGUGGGUAUCGUCGGUUGCUGUGUAGCUCUCUGCUGCUGCUGUUGCAAGAAAAGAAACCCGCAAAGGCACCAAAAUGUGACUACAGUAGUGUACACACAUCCGUCUUCUUCCCAAAUACCCGUUUCUGGGCCUCAGCCACAGUACCCAGCUUACCAGCCAGUACCUCAGCAAGCACACGGCGUACCUUACAUGACAGCACCUCCACCAUCAUACCAGGAAGCUACUGAUCCAGCUCUCUUGCCACACAACCCAGGGAUGAUGUUCCUCCACCCCAGUCAGCCUUCUGGGCACUCAGACGUGCACACACAGUUGCCCUACAAUCCUGCUUUUUACCCAAACACAGCCUCAUUUAACCAACCUGUCAAUAAGUACUGA
rnacentral:lncRNA from 1 species